rnacentral:rRNA from 1 species
UUAAAUUGAAGAGUUUGAUCAUGGCUCAGAUUGAACGCUGGCGGCAGGCCUAACACAUGCAAGUCGAACGGUAACAGGAAGCAGCUUGCUGUUUUGCUGACGAGUGGCGGACGGGUGAGUAAUGUCUGGGAAACUGCCUGAUGGAGGGGGAUAACUACUGGAAACGGUAGCUAAUACCGCAUAACGUCGCAAGA